ensembl:rRNA 5S_rRNA 5S ribosomal RNA
GUCUACAGCCAUGCUACCCUGAAACAGCCUGAUCUUGUCUGAUCUCGGAAGCUAAGCAGGUUUGGGACUGGUUAGUCCUUGGAUGGGAAACCACUUAGGAAGACCAGGUGCUGUAGGCA